rnacentral:lncRNA from 1 species
CCGCUUAAACUAUUGACGUCAUACAACAAUCACUUUUCAAUUGGGGCGUCAGAUAUUUUGUAUUGUGACGUAAACAUUUAACGGGAACCUGUGUGAUGUCCAAUAAUGGCGAACAAAUAGCGAUAAGGUGUAUUUUUUUUCUUACUUUAAAAUAUACGAUAUUGUUAUUUUGUCUGACCAGAGGAUUGAUAUGUCAUUUUAUGAUAUUAUAGAUUAGUUUAUGUUUAAGCCAGUAAAA